UACGUAGGGUGCGAGCGUUGUCCGGAAUUAUUGGGCGUAAAGGGCUCGUAGGCGGUUUGUCGCGUCGGGAGUGAAAUCCACUGGCUUAACUGGUGGCUUGCUUUCGAUACGGGCAGACUGGAGGUAUGCAGGGGAGAGUGGAAUUCCCGGUGUAGCGGUGAAAUGCGCAGAUAUCGGGAAGAACACCCGUGGCGAAGGCGGCUCUCUGGGACGGUACUGACGCUGAGACGCGAAAGCGUGGGGAGCGAACAGG
rnacentral:rRNA from 1 species